UGGUUUGAGGAGGUUAUGUACAUACUUGGCAUGUUGCCAGCUUAGAUUCCAAAUGAAAAUUAUCUGUGGGUUGAAGGUUGAUAAAAAUCGCAGCUAUACUGUUUUUAAUAAAACAUAUUAAAUAGAACAUACUAAGUAGAACAUAUUAAAUAUUAUAAACAAAUCUGAUAAAUAAAUAACUAAAAUAGAAUAAAAUAAAAUAAAUAACUAAAUAGAACGUACACCAACAGAAGGGGCUAAGGAUUAAGAACUGUUUAUCGAAAGCUACAAGGUAGGAAUUUACAUUUGAAAAAAAGAAAUAAGUAUCAAGUUUCCUUCCGUUUUUCAAACAUCUAAUCAUUUCUUUUGACCUAAUGUGGUGUGAUGGGGGGGGAGGCCAGAAAGGAUGUCAUACAGGGUACUACUUCUUCAAUGAGUCCAUUUUGAUUGCAGAUCUGAAAGCACCUUUUCAAAAUGGCAAGUGAGGUGGUUUAUGCAGAGGUAUCGCCCAAGGAAAGAGUGCAUUUUACUUCACACACUUCAGAUACAGGUGAUUCAACCACGUAUGCCGAGGUGAAUGUGAAAUGGAGAUCUGACAGACCUGACAGCACACGCAAGACCACACAUACAGUGACCUGCUUGGAGAGCUCACACUGGUGUUAUGUUGCUGCCGCCCUGUACUUCACUGCAGUGAUUCUGCUCAUCACUGUCAUCCUCUUAGCCGUGAAAUGUCACCACCUCUGAUGCAGACCCUGCCGUCCUGCUGAGGUACAGGAUAACUCGGUGCAGGAAGGCUGAGCUUCUUCAACAAAACAAGGCAUAAUGCUGUUUACUUUUACAUUAUUUUCUCUGAAGAGACCUUCAUGAAAGAAGAUGUGCCAUCAGUCUGAUCACUCUUCAGCUAAAUUUUCCAGGAUCUCCAUUAAACAUCUAACCUCUCCAUAUAUGGACAAACAUAUAGUAUUACUUUUAUAUGGAAUUUUAUUAGUCCUGUAAUACCAGCAACCAUCCAAUUACAUCAGUGUGUGUACCAAGCUCAAGCUGCUGCAUCAAAAGUUGGCCCUGGGUCUUGUCUAGACAGCACUCAUGAUCAGGUGUACUGGUUUGAGACAUCACUUUUAAUUCACACCUGACUUGAUUUUGCAAUAUAGACAAGCUUUUUUAUUCCAUAUAUGCAAGUGCAGAAAUUCAUGUAUAAAACAGAGAAUGUGAAAAGUUGCACUGACUUUUUUAUGAAGCCCAGGUUUGGAUGUGAUUUUUCUUCUCCUGAGCACCUUUAGUGGAAUUUGUAUGAAAGGGAUAUUGAAGGUGCAAGAAACUAUAUUAAUUUAGCAGAGAAGUCUCAGUCUCAUCCCCCCAUUGCCUUGAAUAUAAUUAUUCUGAUCUACUUAUACAGAAAAGUAUCUCACAGAGAUACAAUACCUUGUUUCUGUCUUGGCGUAGUAAUUAAUUUUGUAUUUGUUUGGGGAUUUUUUUUAAUCCAAAUGCUUCAGUUAAAUCACAGUCCUCCACUGGAACUAAGCCACCUCAGGUUCAAAGGCAUUUGUUUGUAAUUAUUAUUUUGCUGUCUGUUUUUAUAUUAUUUCCAGUUCUCAUCAGUUAUGUUAUAACUCCUUUGGGGCAGGCUGAUACCAAUGAUUUGCAGACCUGGACUAGGACGUGUCUGUAUAGCAAUUAUUUCUAGAAUUGUUCCCUGUAUCUAAGCUUAUCAUAAGCUACUUAAGCCAUGUUGUUUCUGUUGAUCAUGCACCACAUUUUUAUAGUAUAUGCAUCAGAAAUCAAUAAAGAUAUUCA